GACGAACGCUGGCGGCGUGCCUAAUACAUGCAAGUCGAACGCAGUGGGGACGGGUGAGUAACACGUGGGUAACCUCCCAUCAGAGGGGAGAACACUUGGAAACAGGUGCUAAACCGCUACUGAUGGAUGGACCCGCGGUGCAUUAGCGAGUGGGUGGGGUAAAGGCUCACCAAGGCCACGAUACAUAGCUGACCUGAGAGGGUGAUCUGCCACACUGGAACUGAGACACGGCCCAGACUCCUACGGGAGGCAGCAGUGGGGAAUCUUCGGCAAUGGGCGAAAGCCUGAUCGAGCAAUGCCGCGUGAAUGAAGAAGGUUUUCGGAUCGUAAAGCUCUUUUGUUAGAGAAGCGGUACCUAACCAGAAAGCCACGGCUAACUACGUGCCAGCAGCCGCGGUAAUUC
rnacentral:rRNA from 1 species